rnacentral:rRNA from 1 species
GACGAACGCUGGCGGCGUGCCUAAUACAUGCAAGUUGAGCGAUGAAGAUUGGUGCUUGCACCAAUUUGAAGAGCAGCGAACGGGUGAGUAACGCGUGGGGAAUCUGCCUUUGAGCGGGGGACAACAUUUGGAAACGAAUGCUAAUACCGCAUAACAACUUUAAACAUAAGUUUUAAGUUUGAAAGAUGCAAUUGCAUCACUCAAAGAUGAUCCCGCGUUGUAUUAGCUAGUUGGUGAGGUAAAGGCUCACCAAGGCGAUGAUACAUAGCCGACCUGAGAGGGUGAUCGGCCACAUUGGGACUGAGACACGGCCCAAACUCCUACGGGAGGCAGCAGUAGGGAAUCUUCGGCAAUGGACGAAAGUCUGACCGAGCAACGCCGCGUGAGUGAAGAAGGGUUUCGGAUCGUAAAAAUCUGUUGGUAGAGAAGAACGUUGGUGAGAGUGGAAAGCUCAUCAAGUGACGGUAACUACCCAGAAAGGGACGGCUAACUACGUG